CCGACCUUAGCUCAGUUGGUAGAGCGGAGGACUGUAGUCGGGUCAAAUAAAACCCACAGAUUAAUCCUUAGGUCAACUGGUUCGAAUCCGGUAGGUCGGA
rnacentral:tRNA from 1 species